rnacentral:rRNA from 1 species
UAACCAGACUCCUACGGGAGGCAGCAGUGGGGAAUAUUGCGCAAUGGGCGCAAGCCUGAUGCAGCCAUGCCGCGUGUAUGAAGAAGGCCUUCGGGUUGGAAAAUACUUUCAGCGGGGAGGAAGGCGAUAAGGUUAAUAACCUUGUUGAUUGACGUUACCCGCAGAAGAAGCACCGGCUAACUCCGUGCCAGCAGCCGCGGUAAUACGGAGGGUGCAAGCGUUAAUCGGAAUUACUGGGCGUAAAGCGCACGCAGGCGGUCUGUCAAGUCGGAUGUGAAAUCCCCGGGCGCAACCUGGGAACUGCAUUCGAAACUGGCAGGCUGGAGUCUUGGAGAGGGGGGUAGAAUUCCAGGUGUAGCGGUGGAAUGCGUAGAGAUCUGGAGGAAAACCGGUGGCGAAGGCGGCCCCCUGGACAAAGACUGACGCUCAGGUGCGAAAGCGUGGGGAGCAAACAGGAUUAGAUACCCCAGUAA